UUGGACUGAUUUUUGACUCAUUUUUUCAGAUAUUUUGUUCAUGUAAUGAGAACUCAUCUUAUUCUCUCUUCUCUCUAGAACCUUCUCAUAAAUCUGGGUUUACAUUCAUGGUAUUUGAGAGCUUUCAGCUUCAUUCCAUGUUUUCAUGGUAUCAAAGCCUCGAGAUUCUGAGAGAUCUGCUUAUCAUAUGUUGAGCGGUGGUACCCUAGGUCAUUUUUUGCCAAUUAUUUCUGCGUGAUUUUGGUAUUUGCUGCGUGUAUUUUGUGGAUUUUUGUUUGUGGAGCUUCGAACAUGGCUGGUUUUCCCUUCGAUUGAAUUUUUUGUGGAUUGCAUUUAUUUCGGCAGUGUUGAACAAGGCUCACUUCAUCGAGUUUUGAAGAAGACCGGGCCAUUCUCUGAAGAGGCCACUGGAAGUUGGUAAACUCUCCAAUGGACUAUACAUACUUUAGCUGAAUGGUUCCACUUAACAAGACAUUACUGAUGGUGGUCCUGAUGUUUCCUCCGCAGUUUCUUCUUCUGUUCCUUUUACUGCUGAUCCUGUUUCCACUCCCAAUCCAAGAAUCCCGUGUUUCAUGAACGUACGAAGCACAUAGAGGUAGACUGCCAUUUUGUUCGGGUGGCUCUUACUGCUGGGCUGAUUUCUUUGCAAUAUGUUCCCACUGCUCUACAACUGGCUGAUAUUCUUAUGAAGCCCUUGACUGGUGUUCAACACAACAACUUGCUUUCCAAGCUGGGACUGGUUUCCAUCUCGCCGGGGGAUAUUAGAAAUAAUAUAGUUGGGCUUCAGCCUCCUUAGCCUAUUGUUUAUUACAUAUUGGGCCUGAUCUUUAAUGUUUGUAUCCGGUCCAUUUCCUUUAUCAAGUGUUAAGUACAUGUAUGUGUGUAUUGAAGUAGUUGGACUGUUUUUUGACUCAUUUUCAUGUAAUUAGAACUCAUCUUCUUCUCUCCUCUCUAGAACCUUCUCAUAAAUCUGGGUUUACAUUCAUGGUA